UGAAUUUCUUUGACAUCAUAACCUGAGAAAUAAUAAAACUUCAAACAAUUUUGUGGGGGUAAAAUACAUGGUUCGAAAUGAUUUCUUAAUAACAAUAAUAAUUACCAAAAGUUCAAAAUAUUAAUUUAGAAUAUAACUAGAAUAUUUAGUCUGGGAUAGUACUGAGCCCAUCUCAACUCAAGUAGUCACAUCGAAUGCAUCACCUAGCUCUCAUCAUCUGAAAUAUAGGAAGGGAUAAUGUGGAAUGAGCUAGUGUUUAGUAAGCAAACCUUAUACAUAUGAUGCACGUUUAUAAUAUUCAUAUGAUUUACUUUAAAAUAAAAUAAAAAACAUUCCUCGACAUAUAUCCCUCUUUUCUUUCAUUUCUUUAACAAUCUUAACAUUGACAUAUUAAGCUUACUUGCUGUUUCGUCUAGCCAAUCAGAAUGUAGUGGGACAUGUUAUUUGAAACCUGAUCAAAUCUAUCGAUAGAACCACAAAGUGGUUAAUAUUAACAUUAGCAUUGAACAUUCAUCGUUGAAUAUUGAUUGGGUGUGAUGGUCCCUCGUGCCCUUAUUUCUUAUUCACACCUUCAUGGCAUAGACAUACCCCAUAAUAAAAAUAUUUGAGUAUUCUUUUUAAAAACAUUCAUUUUCACAAUGAUGUUUAAAAACUCUUAAUUUCAUGCAUGCCUUAUGGAUGAAUUGAUAUGCAUGAAUGAUCAUUAAAAGCAUUUAUGACAUAGAAUAUAAUGAUCACUUAUUAAUUUCAUUUUAAUCUCACAUAAUACUGAUCUAGAUAACACAAAUCACGUAUCAACAUUAUACAAGGCCGCAACAUCAUGGGAGGAAGUAUAUUGGCGAGCACCUCCUACCCAAAUUGAUUUGUGACGUCUUUAGCACUAAGAUCAUAAACAAAAAAAUAACUCAAGUUACCAAUAAAUUAUUUUGUCUAUAAGUUACAGAAAAACUAAAAAUUAAAGAAACAAUCGUCUUGACACCAAUAGCUUCUCCGAGAUGAAUUGAUUGUCAUCAAAACCAUUGACAAUUAGACCAUUUUCUUGCUGCUACUACUGCUACUGCUACUGCUACUGCUACUAUUACUAUUAUUAUU
rnacentral:lncRNA from 1 species